GACGAACGCUGGCGGCGUGCUUAACACAUGCAAGUCGAACGGAAAGGCCCUGCUUUUGUGGGGUGCUCGAGUGGCGAACGGGUGAGUAACACGUGAGUAACCUGCCCUUGUCUUUGGGAUAACUUCAGGAAACUGGGGCUAAUACCGGAUAGGAGCUCCUGCUGCAUGGUGGGGGUUGGAAAGUUUCGGCGGUUGGGGAUGGACUCGCGGCUUAUCAGCUUGUUGGUGGGGUAGUGGCUUACCAAGGCUUUGACGGGUAGCCGGCCUGAGAGGGUGACCGGCCACAUUGGGACUGAGAUACGGCCCAGACGCCUACGGGAGGCAGCAGUGGGGAAUAUUGCACAAUGGGCGGAAGCCUGAUGCAGCAACGCCGCGUGCGGGAUGACGGCCUUCGGGUUGUAAACCGCUUUCGCCUGUGACGAAGCGUGAGUGACGGUAAUGGGUAAAGAAGCACCGGCUAACUACGUG
rnacentral:rRNA from 1 species